UUAAGCGACUAAGCGUACACGGUGGAUGCCCUGGCAGUCAGAGGCGAUGAAGGACGUGCUAAUCUGCGAUAAGCGUCGGUGAGGUGAUAUGAACCGUUAUAACCGGCGAUUUCCGAAUGGGGAAACCCAGUGUGAUUCGUCACACUAUCAUUAACUGAAUCCAUAGGUUAAUGAGGCGAACCGGGGGAACUGAAACAUCUAAGUACCCCGAGGAAAAGAAAUCAACCGAGAUUCCCCCAGUAGCGGCGAGCGAACGGGGAGGAGCCCAGAGCCUGAAUCAGUGUGUGUGUUAGUGGAAGCGUCUGGAAAGGCGCGCGAUACAGGGUGACAGCCCCGUACACAAAAAUGCACAUAUUGUGAGCUCGAUGAGUAGGGCGGGACACGUGGUAUCCUGUCUGAAUAUGGGGGGACCAUCCUCCAAGGCUAAAUACUCCUGACUGACCGAUAGUGAACCAGUACCGUGAGGGAAAGGCGAAAAGAACCCCGGCGAGGGGAGUGAAAAAGAACCUGAAACCGUGUACGUACAAGCAGUGGGAGCCUCUUAAUGGGGUGACUGCGUACCUUUUGUAUAAUGGGUCAGCGACUUAUAUUCUGUAGCAAGGUUAACCGAAUAGGGGAGCCGAAGGGAAACCGAGUCUUAACUGGGCGUUAAGUUGCAGGGUAUAGACCCGAAACCCGGUGAUCUAGCCAUGGGCAGGUUGAAGGUUGGGUAACACUAACUGGAGGACCGAACCGACUAAUGUUGAAAAAUUAGCGGAUGACUUGUGGCUGGGGGUGAAAGGCCAAUCAAACCGGGAGAUAGCUGGUUCUCCCCGAAAGCUAUUUAGGUAGCGCCUCGUGAAUUCAUCUCCGGGGGUAGAGCACUGUUUCGGCAAGGGGGUCAUCCCGACUUACCAACCCGAUGCAAACUGCGAAUACCGGAGAAUGUUAUCACGGGAGACACACGGCGGGUGCUAACGUCCGUCGUGAAGAGGGAAACAACCCAGACCGCCAGCUAAGGUCCCAAAGUCAUGGUUAAGUGGGAAACGAUGUGGGAAGGCCCAGACAGCCAGGAUGUUGGCUUAGAAGCAGCCAUCAUUUAAAGAAAGCGUAAUAGCUCACUGGUCGAGUCGGCCUGCGCGGAAGAUGUAACGGGGCUAAACCAUGCACCGAAGCUGCGGCAGCGACACUAUGUGUUGUUGGGUAGGGGAGCGUUCUGUAAGCCUGUGAAGGUGGCCUGUGAGGGUUGCUGGAGGUAUCAGAAGUGCGAAUGCUGACAUAAGUAACGAUAAAGCGGGUGAAAAGCCCGCUCGCCGGAAGACCAAGGGUUCCUGUCCAACGUUAAUCGGGGCAGGGUGAGUCGACCCCUAAGGCGAGGCCGAAAGGCGUAGUCGAUGGGAAACAGGUUAAUAUUCCUGUACUUGGUGUUACUGCGAAGGGGGGACGGAGAAGGCUAUGUUGGCCGGGCGACGGUUGUCCCGGUUUAAGCGUGUAGGCUGGUUUUCCAGGCAAAUCCGGAAAACCAAGGCUGAGGCGUGAUGACGAGGCACUACGGUGCUGAAGCGACAAAUGCCCUGCUUCCAGGAAAAGCCUCUAAGCAUCAGGUAACAUCAAAUCGUACCCCAAACCGACACAGGUGGUCAGGUAGAGAAUACCAAGGCGCUUGAGAGAACUCGGGUGAAGGAACUAGGCAAAAUGGUGCCGUAACUUCGGGAGAAGGCACGCUGAUAUGUAGGUGAAGCGACUUGCUCGUGGAGCUGAAAUCAGUCGAAGAUACCAGCUGGCUGCAACUGUUUAUUAAAAACACAGCACUGUGCAAACACGAAAGUGGACGUAUACGGUGUGACGCCUGCCCGGUGCCGGAAGGUUAAUUGAUGGGGUUAGCGGUAACGCGAAGCUCUUGAUCGAAGCCCCGGUAAACGGCGGCCGUAACUAUAACGGUCCUAAGGUAGCGAAAUUCCUUGUCGGGUAAGUUCCGACCUGCACGAAUGGCGUAAUGAUGGCCAGGCUGUCUCCACCCGAGACUCAGUGAAAUUGAACUCGCUGUGAAGAUGCAGUGUACCCGCGGCAAGACGGAAAGACCCCGUGAACCUUUACUAUAGCUUGACACUGAACAUUGAGCCUUGAUGUGUAGGAUAGGUGGGAGGCUUUGAAGUGUGGACGCCAGUCUGCAUGGAGCCGACCUUGAAAUACCACCCUUUAAUGUUUGAUGUUCUAACGUUGGCCCGUAAUCCGGGUUGCGGACAGUGUCUGGUGGGUAGUUUGACUGGGGCGGUCUCCUCCUAAAGAGUAACGGAGGAGCACGAAGGUUGGCUAAUCCUGGUCGGACAUCAGGAGGUUAGUGCAAUGGCAUAAGCCAGCUUGACUGCGAGCGUGACGGCGCGAGCAGGUGCGAAAGCAGGUCAUAGUGAUCCGGUGGUUCUGAAUGGAAGGGCCAUCGCUCAACGGAUAAAAGGUACUCCGGGGAUAACAGGCUGAUACCGCCCAAGAGUUCAUAUCGACGGCGGUGUUUGGCACCUCGAUGUCGGCUCAUCACAUCCUGGGGCUGAAGUAGGUCCCAAGGGUAUGGCUGUUCGCCAUUUAAAGUGGUACGCGAGCUGGGUUUAGAACGUCGUGAGACAGUUCGGUCCCUAUCUGCCGUGGGCGCUGGAGAACUGAGGGGGGCUGCUCCUAGUACGAGAGGACCGGAGUGGACGCAUCACUGGUGUUCGGGUUGUCAUGCCAAUGGCACUGCCCGGUAGCUAAAUGCGGAAGAGAUAAGUGCUGAAAGCAUCUAAGCACGAAACUUGCCCCGAGAUGAGUUCUCCCUGAGACUUAGAGUCUCCUGAAGGAACGUUGAAGACGACGACGUUGAUAGGCCGGGUGUGUAAGCGCAGCGAUGCGUUGAGCUAACCGGUACUAAUGAACCGUGAGGCUUAACCUU
rnacentral:rRNA from 1 species